GCCAUGGCGGCCGCGGGAAUUCGAUUAGAGUUUGAUCAUGGCUCAGAAUGAACGCUGGCGGCGUGCUUUACACAUGCAAGUCGAGCGAGGCGGGUAGCAAUACCCAGUCGAGCGGCGAACGGGUGAGUAACGCGUGGAUUAUCUGCCCUGAGGUGGGGGAUAACCCGGGGAAACUCGGGCUAAUACCGCAUAUGACCGUGAGGUCAAAGGGGGGUCGCAAGAUCUCUCGCCAUAGGAGGAGUCCGCGUCCGAUUAGCUAGUUGGUAGGGUAAUGGCCUACCAAGGCGACGAUCGGUAGCCGGCCUGAGAGGGUGAUCGGCCACACUGGAACUGAGACACGGUCCAGACUCCUACGGGAGGCAGCAGUGGGGAAUUUUGGACAAUGGGGGAAACCCUGAUCCAGCCAUGCCGCGUGAGUGAAGAAGGCCUUCGGGUUGUAAAGCUCUUUUGGUCGGGAAGAAAGGGUUUCCUUGAAUACGGGAGACUUUUGACGGUACCGGCAGAAUAAGCACCGGCUAACUACGUGCCAGCAGCCGCGGUAAUACGAAUCACUAGUGAAUUCGCGGCCGCCUGCAGGUCGACCAUAUGGGAG
rnacentral:rRNA from 1 species